AGAGUUUGAUCCUGGCUCAGGACGAACGCUGGCGGCGUGCCUAAUACAUGCAAGUCGAACGGUCUUUUCUAUGGAAGCUUGCUUCCACUGAGAAGAUAGUGGCGGACGGGUGAGUAACACGUGGGUAACCUGCCCAUAAGAGGGGGAUAACAUCCGGAAACGGGUGCUAAUACCGCAUAGUUUUCUUGAUCGCAUGAUUGAGAAAGGAAAGACGGCCUUUGUGCUGUCGCUUAUGGAUGGACCCGCGGCGUAUUAGUUAGUUGGUGAGGUAAUGGCUCACCAAGACGAUGAUACGUAGCCGACCUGAGAGGGUGAUCGGCCACAUUGGGACUGAGACACGGCCCAAACUCCUACGGGAGGCAGCAGUAGGGAAUCUUCCGCAAUGGACGAAAGUCUGACGGAGCAACGCCGCGUGAGUGAAGAAGGUUUUCGGAUCGUAAAACUCUGUUGUCAGAGAAGAACAAGUUGGAGAGUAACUGCUCCAGCCUUGACGGUAUCUGACCAGAAAGCCACGGCUAACUACGUGCCAGCAGCCGCGGUAAU
rnacentral:rRNA from 1 species